UACGUAGGCAGCAAGCGUUGUUCGGAAUUACUGGGCGUAAAGAGUGUGUAGGCGGUGCUCCAAGUCUGGUGUGAAAUCUCCCGGCUUAACUGGGAGGGUGCAUUAGAAACUGGAAUGCUAGAGGAUGGGAGAGGUAAGCGGAAUUCCUGGCGUAGCGGUGAAAUGCGUAGAUAUCAGGAGGAACACCUGUGGUGUAGACAGCUUACUGGACCAUUUCUGACGCUGAGGCACGAAAGCGUGGGGAGCAAACAGG
rnacentral:rRNA from 1 species